CUCCUCUCUUAGCACACUGUCUUCUUUGCCUAUGAUACUCGAGAAUUUGUCGAGAUUGACCCGUCACGCCAUUUUCUCAUCUGAGCUUAUCCGUAGAAGCAGAAAGGCCAUCGCAGGACUCGGAGUUCUGUAGAAAAACCUUUAUCUCUUUGAUUUCCAAAAAUUUGCGAUCUUCUAGUGAAGCAGACGUCGUCUCCAAAGCCCUUUGCUGAAAACGGAGAUUCUCUCCACCAUCAGAUACAAAAAGGAGUUUAGGAACUUUGCUGCUUCUUAGUGACUUAAUGGAUUCUCAAACACUUGAGACAAUGGCAGCUCUUAAUGCUGAGAAUGAGUACAUGGAAAUUAAUGAGGAUGAAACAGAGACUCCAGCUGCAACACACAGUGAAACACAACCUACUCAACCAGUUCAAAAGGUGAUAUUGAAGAUAACUUUGAUGAUGAAAAUGAAGAUACUACCACAGCAAGUAGCUCAUGAGUAAAAAUUAUGCUAUCAGAUUUCAUUUCAAGAUGAAGACAUGUGAGAUCUUUAUUAGUUUUUGAUAUUUGGAUGAUUUUUGUGGUGAGAUCUUUAUUAGUUUUUGAUAUUUGGAUGAUUUUGUGGUAAUAUCUUUAUUAGUUUUUGAUAUUUGGAUGAUUUUUGUGGUGAGAUAUUUAUUUGUUAUCACAGAUUAAUGAAUUGCA